rnacentral:sRNA from 1 species
GACAGUGCCGAAUCCAGCCCAGGAGCGGGGGAACCAGUAUUUUGGGGCGAACGUCAUGCUCAUGUGUUUAGCGUGAGUGAUGAAGCGGGUGGUCUUCUCUACCCGAGCCCGGCAGCUAACCUCGUAGGCGUAGUAGAGAGA